CCUACGGGAGGCAGCAGUGAGGAAUAUUGGUCAAUGGGCGAGAGCCUGAACCAGCCAAGUCGCGUGAGGGAGUACUGCCCUAUGGGUUGUAAACCUCUUUUGUCGGGGAGCAAAAGCCGGACGUGUCCGGCUGUGAGAGUGUCCGAAGAAAAAGCAUCGGCUAACUCCGCGGCAGCAGCCGCGGUAAUACGGAGGAUGCGAGCGUUAUCCGGAUUUAUUGGGGUUAAAGGGGGCGCAGGCGGAUGUUUAAGUCAGCGGUAAAAUCGUGGGGCUCAACCCCAUCCAGCCGUUGAAACUGGGGAUCUAGAGUGUGCGAGAGGUAUGCGGAAUGCGUGGUGUAGCGGUGAAAUGCAUAGAUAUCACGCAGAACCCCGAUUGCGAAGGCAGCAUACCGGUGCACAACUGACGCUGAGGCACGAAAGCGUGGGUAUCGAACAGGAUUAGAUACCCCAGUAGUC
rnacentral:rRNA from 1 species